rnacentral:rRNA from 1 species
CGCGCAGGUGGGUUCUUUUUUCUGAUGUGAAAUCCCACGCCUCUACCCUGGAGGGUCAUUGGAAACUGGGAGACUUGAGUGCACUACAGGAAAGUGGAAUUCCCUGUGUAGCGGUGAAAUGCGUAGAGAUAUGGAGGAACACCAGUGGCGAAGGCGACUUUCUGGUCUGUAACUGACACUGAGGCGCGAAAGCGUGGGGAGCAAACAGGAUUAUAUACCCUGGUAGUCCACGCCGUAAACGAUGAGUGCUAAGUGUUAGAGGGUUUCCGCCCUUUAGUGCUGAAGUUAACGCAUUAAGCACUCCGCCUGGGGAGUACGGCCGCAAGGCUGAAACUCAAAGGAAUUGACGGGGGCCCGCACAAGCGGUGGAGCAUGUGGUUUAUUUCUAAGCUACGCGAAGAACCUUACCAGGUCUUGACAUCCUCUGACGACCCUAGAGAUAGGGCUUCUCCUUCGGGAGCAGAGUGACAGGUGGUGCAUGGUUGUCGUCAGCUCGUGUCGUGAGAUGUUG